UACGUAGGGAGCAAGCGUUGUCCGGAAUCACUGGGCGUAAAGGGUGCGUAGGCGGCCAUGUAAGUAGGGUGUGAAAUCCCCCGGCUUAACCGGGGAACUGCGCCCUAAACUGUAUGGCUGGAGUGAGAUAGGGGUGUGUGGAACUUCCGGUGGAGCGGUGAAAUGUGUUGAUAUCGGAAGGAACGCCGGUGGCGAAAGCGACACACUGGGUCUCAACUGACGCUGAGGCACGAAAGCCAGGGGAGCGAACGGG
rnacentral:rRNA from 1 species